UGGGGAAUAUUGCACAAUGGGGGGAACCCUGAUGCAGCGACGCCGCGUGAAGGAAGAAGUAUCUCGGUAUGUAAACUUCUAUCAGCAGGGAAGAAAAUGACGGUACCUGACUAAGAAGCCCCGGCUAACUACGUGCCAGCAGCCGCGGUAAUACGUAGGGGGCAAGCGUUAUCCGGAUUUACUGGGUGUAAAGGGAGCGUAGACGGAAGAGCAAGUCUGAUGUGAAAGGCUGGGGCUUAACCCCAGGACUGCAUUGGAAACUGUUGUUCUAGAGUGCCGGAGAGGUAAGCGGAAUUCCUAGUGUAGCGGUGAAAUGCGUAGAUAUUAGGAGGAACACCAGUGGCGAAGGCGGCUUACUGGACGGUAACUGACGUUGAGGCUCGAAAGCGUGGGGAGCAAACAGG
rnacentral:rRNA from 1 species